CCCCUCUUAAGGUCUCACCUGGGGAGUUUCCAGUACUCUACCAGUUUCGGCUACAGGAGGGAUAGUGCAGCAGAGGCCUACCCAUUCCAUUCCUAGCUUGGGCAGCUGCUAUCGAGAGGAAGGCACUCUGCCACAAGU